AGGGGGAGGUUAGAUCCUGGGCUGUGUCCCCGGCACCCUGUGCUCCCGGCCCUGUGCUGUUGGAUUUGCGCUCCUCCCCGGGCAGCCCCCU
rnacentral:pre_miRNA from 1 species